CUCGAAAAGCGUCUUCGGCUCUGAGGGGGCGGAGCUACCUUGGAAGGAGAAGAUCCCUCCGCCGAAGACUGGCUGAGUCGUCCCACAAUCCCUCCGCCUUGAAGGGGCUAUUUGUGAACAGGGAAAACAGCUUCCUCCAGUCUGGUGGAUUCCUGCACCCAUCAUCCACAGCGGGCACAUCAAAACCCCACCAUUGAUUUAUUCAAAUUGAACAAAUCUUGAACCAUUUUGAAGAAUCCGGCGGGCAAGAAAGCUGGGGACGUUUAAGUGGAUAUCCACGAGCCAUCGAGGGCGCCAGUCGUCUACGUUAGGCAGAAGGAUGAUUCAGCAUCCAUCCAUGUGCUCCUUCUGUCUAAGACCAGUCCUUUUCUUCGUUCUCUUAAAUGGAUUGAAAUGAGAAGGAUUCCCAAGUCGGUCCUUCUAAGAUGCCAAAUAAAUCUAAACUGCUCCAGA